GGCGUGGUGGCUUAGUAGUUAGCACUGGUGCCUCACACCUCCAGGGUUGGGGGUUCAAAUCCUGCCUUUGCCC